UAGAGAGAAAACCACUUUCCAGCGCAGAAGUGGUUUGUUACGAAGUUUGUUACAAACUCCGGGUUUUAAGCUGCUUUCACACCUCAACUGUUUCUCUCCAUUUCUAUUUAAGAACUUCAUCUCAACUGAACAUCACAGAACAAGAAAUGGAUUCUUCAGAUUUUGUUUACGUGAUGGUUUGGAUCAACAUCCGUGUCUGCAUCCCAUUCACCUUGAUAGUUUUUGCUCUGGGUUGUGUAGUCAGAUUGGAUGGUUUUCCUGUCACCUUCUACAUGAACCUUCUCGUCUCCAACCUGAUCCAACUCGGUGGUUUGGUUGCUUUAAUGGUGAAGAUGAAUGAAAAUAAUUUCCAUCUAAUCUGCUUCGUUGUCGUCGGCUGUGGUGCUUUGGCCAGUAUUUGUUUCAGGACGGUCAUUGCUCUGGAAAGGUAUUUUCUCAUCUCCUGGCCACAGCUGCUUUUCAUCAGACAGACCAAAGGUUACGUGAUAUUUUGUGUUUUGAUCUGGCUGUUUGCGAUUUUUCUUUUUCCUCUUUUCAUAAUGUAUUCACAGUAUAUAUUCUUUGUGGUGUUUCCCUUGAUCCCAACUCCUGUCUUCUUCUUCUGUGUGGCUAAAACCCCAAAAUUCCUGCCUGCAGCCACUUCCCUAACCACAGAAGAAAAACGUAGGAUUGUGGCAACUUUGAUUCUGUUGCUGAUUGUUCACAUAUUCAUGAUCCUCCCGCUGAGUGUGUGUUAUAUUAAUCCAUAUUUCCAUGAAACCUAUUAUGUGAAAUUUCACAGCUCACUGAUCUUGUUUCUCUUCAGUCCCUUCAUGGAUUUGAUUCUGUUCGUUUUCAUGUGUAAAGGAUUAGUUGACAAGCUGUUGAUGUGUUUCAGCUGCCACAGUUGUAGCAGAUGAAACACAUCAAGAGUUUAUGACUCUACAUUAUUUCAGUUUUCAAGUCUUCCACCAAACACAAGUAUUGCAACUUUAUAUCAAUAUGCUUAACUGAUUUAAACUUAGCACAAAAAGUAAAGAAAUGUGUGUUUGGUAGAUUUUUUUCUGUGCUUCA